rnacentral:rRNA from 1 species
AACGAACGCUGGCGGCAUGCCUAACACAUGCAAGUCGAACGAGACCUUCGGGUCUAGUGGCGCACGGGUGCGUAACGCGUGGGAACCUGCCCUUAGGUUCGGAAUAACUCCCCGAAAGGGGUGCUAAUACCGGAUAAUUUCUUCGGACCAAAGAUUUAUCGCCUUUGGAUGGGCCCGCGUUGGAUUAGCUAGUUGGUAGGGUAAAAGCCUACCAAGGCGACGAUCCAUAGCUGGUCUGAGAGGAUGAUCAGCCACACUGGGACUGAGACACGGCCCAGACUCCUACGGGAGGCAGCAGUGGGGAAUAUUGGACAAUGGGCGAAAGCCUGAUCCAGCAAGGCCGCGUGAGUGAUGAAGGCCUUAGGGUUGUAAAGCUCUUUUACCCGGGAUGAUAAUGACAGUACCGGGAGAAUAAGCUCCGGCUAACUCCGUG